UGCAAGUCGAGCGGUAACAGAUCCAGCUUGCUGGAUGCUGACGAGCGGCGGACGGGUGAGUAAUGCAUAGGAAUCUGCCCGAUAGUGGGGGAUAACCUGGGGAAACCCAGGCUAAUACCGCAUACGUCCUACGGGAGAAAGGGGGCUUCGGCUCCCGCUAUCGGAUGAGCCUAUGUCGGAUUAGCUAGUUGGUGAGGUAACGGCUCACCAAGGCCACGAUCCGUAGCUGGUCUGAGAGGAUGAUCAGCCACAUCGGGACUGAGACACGGCCCGAACUCCUACGGGAGGCAGCAGUGGGGAAUAUUGGACAAUGGGGGGAACCCUGAUCCAGCCAUGCCGCGUGUGUGAAGAAGGCCCUCGGGUUGUAAAGCACUUUCAGCGAGGAAGAACGCCUAGCGGUUAAUACCCGCUAGGAAAGACAUCACUCGCAGAAGAAGCACCGGCUAACUCCGUGCCAGCAGCCGCGGUAAUACGGAGGGUGCAAGCGUUAAUCGGAAUUACUGGGCGUAAAGCGCGCGUAGGUGGCUUGAUAAGCCGGUUGUGAAAGCCCCGGGCUCAACCUGGGAACGGCAUCCGGAACUGUCAAGCUAGAGUGCAGGAGAGGAAGGUAGAAUUCCCGGUGUAGCGGUGAAAUGCGUAGAGAUCGGGAGGAAUACCAGUGGCGAAGGCGGCCUUCUGGACUGACACUGACACUGAGGUGCGAAAGCGUGGGUAGCAAACAGGAUUAGAUACCCUGGUAGUCCACGCCGUAAACGAUGUCGACCAGCCGUUGGGUGCCUAGCGCACUUUGUGGCGAAGUUAACGCGAUAAGUCGACCGCCUGGGGAGUACGGCCGCAAGGUUAAAACUCAAAUGAAUUGACGGGGGCCCGCACAAGCGGUGGAGCAUGUGGUUUAAUUCGAUGCAACGCGAAGAACCUUACCUACUC
rnacentral:rRNA from 1 species